GCACCCGUAGUUCAAUGGAUAGAAUACAGGCCUCCGAAGCCUGGGAUCCAAGUUCGACUCUUGGCGGGUGCA
rnacentral:tRNA from 1 species